UUUAUGAACACUAAAAAAAACUCCGUUUGGACAGCGAGCGAGAACUCGUCUCUCACUUCAAUCAGUUUGCUAGAACACACCACGGCUUCUUGAAUUUGCGCGAAUUCUCAGAGCUUCUAAGAUUUCUCGGUUUCCGCGUCGACCCAAGUACUGUCUGCGAUUUCUAUUCUAGUCAUGUGACCGCCGAAAAGAACAUGCUGGACUAUGCCGACUUUCUGUCUUUCUUCUCACCGAACAAGCUUGGAGAGUUAAAGCGAAAUAUUCAAUACAUCAAGGCUUUUAGAUUGAUUGACUACGACUCGGCCGGCACUAUCUCAGUCGAAAAGGUCAAGCAAGCCAUAAAGUCUACCAACGAGGUCUACACCGAAGAAGAAUUAUUUUUGAUGUUUUCUGAGGCGGAUGAAGAGAACAAAGGCUACCUGACGCUUCAGGACUUCUUCGACAUUUUGAGACCCUCUUCCCCUUCCCUCGACCCCUAAGUGUGCUACGCAAUCCUGUCGCUUUUGUUCCCUCUCUCGGACAAGAGCCAAUGUGCACUGAAGCGUUAGAUGUAUCCGUUAUUUGCGUACAUAAACAAAUUACAACUGAA